rnacentral:rRNA from 1 species
GACGAACGCUGGCGGCAGGCUUAACACAUGCAAGUCGAACGCCCCGCAAGGGGAGUGGCAGACGGGUGAGUAACGCGUGGGAAUCUACCCAGAUCUACGGAACAACAGUUGGAAACGACUGCUAAUACCGUAUACGCCCUACGGGGGAAAGAUUUGUCGGAUUUGGAUGAGCCCGCGUUGGAUUAGCUAGUUGGUGGGGUAAUGGCCUACCAAGGCGACGACCCAUAGCUGGUCUGAGAGGAUGAUCAGCCACACUGGGACGGAGACACGGCCCAGACUCCUACGGGCGGCAGCAGUGGGGAAUAUUGGACAAUGGGCGCAAGCCUGAUCCAGCCAUGCCGCGUGAGUGAUGAAGGCCUUAGGGUUGUAAAGCUCUUUCACCGAUGAAGAUAAUGACGGUAGUCGGAGAAGAAGCCCCGGCUAACUUCGUGCCAGCCGCCGCAGUAAUAC